AACAGGGGGGGCAAGCGUUAUUCUACAUUAUUCGGCGUAAAGGGUGCGUAGAUUGUUAAUUAAGUUAUAUAUAAAAAACUAGGAUACCAUUAGUAAGGUAUAUAAACCUGAUUAAAUUGAGUUUAACUGGAGUAAAAGGAAUUUUUAAUGAAGAGAUAAAAUUCUUAGAUCUUAAAAAGAACACCAAAGGCGAAAGCAUUUUACUAAGUUAAACUAACAUUGAGGCACGAAGGUGUGGGUAGCAAACAGG
rnacentral:rRNA from 1 species